GCCAGGCAUGGUGGCGCAUGCUUGUAAUCCCAGCUACUCAGGAGGCUGAGGCAGGAGAAUCGCUUGAACCUGGGAGGUGGAGGUUGCAGUAAGCCAAGAUUGCACCACUGCACUCUAUCCUGGGUGACAGAGCGAGAUUCCGUCUCCA
rnacentral:SRP_RNA from 1 species